rnacentral:lncRNA from 1 species
CUCAGCAUCCAGUAAAUGCCUCGCUUUACUGCAGCUGCCUCUGAAGUGAACUUGGAAAUCAAGCUGUCACCCUGGAAAAUAAAAUUAGUUCUAUCAGUUCCAGCUCUCUUGGUCCCUACUCAGAAAUCACUUGCCUCAGAGCAUCCAAAGAAAUGAUACCCACUUUGCUAAGGCUUGCCUUUGGGAAUUUGGUUUCUAGAAUGUUUGCAGGUAAAUGGUACAUUUCCAGGCCUUCACAAAGUGACUAGAAGGGAGCCUGGGCAGAGGAAAAACAGCUUCUGACUGGAUGGAAAAUUAGAAAUUGGGCCUUUGAGAGUAGACUGUAGUGUAUGCUCUAAACACUGGAUGCUUGGCACCUACCCAUUGUGCUCGGUGACUGUCCUGGGACUCCUGGGCUUACUACUGCUUAUCAGGUGAGUGUCACUUAAAUAUCUAGAAAUCCAGCAAGUGGACACUUGCACCUAGGUAUUUUCCGUUUCUGUGAUGGAAAAAGACCUCUGGUUCCUGCAUCUCAGCACCUAAUGGAACAUCUCCUUUCUUUACAUGCAUGCAUGAUUCCAUGACUAUAUUUAAGAUUUGGUUCUUUGCAGUCAGUAUUGGAAUGGCUGAUACUGGUAGGCCACAGUCUUACUGCUCAUCCAUAAUUAAUUGAUUUUCACAUCUCCCUUUAUCACCUUCUGUUCUAAACCCGAUGAUAAGAUGGUCACAGGUAAAGAUUAUAAUAUAUUUUAAUCAGACUUUGGACUUUGAUGCAGUAAAUAAACACGGCUUUUAAAUUUUGC